rnacentral:rRNA from 1 species
UGCCAGCAGCCGCGGUAAUACGAAUGGAGCAAGCGUUGUUCGGAAUCACUGGGCUUAAAGCGUAUGUAGGCGGACUUGAAAGUCAGGAGUGAAAUCCCAGGGCUCAACCCUGGAACUGCUCUUGAAACUCCAAGUCUAGAAUACUGGAGAGGUUGGGAGAAUUCCGAGUGUAGAGGUGAAAUUCGCAGAUAUUCGGAGGAAUACCAGUGGCGUAGGCGCCCAACUGGACAGUUAUUGACGCUCAGAUACGAAAGCGUGGGGAGCAAACAGGAUUAGAUA